UGGCUCUCGCAUCGAUGAAGAACGCAGCGAAAUGCGAUAAGUAAUGUGAAUUGCAGAAUUCAGUGAAUCAUCGAAUCUUUGAACGCACCUUGCGCUCCUUGGUAUUCCGAGGAGCAUGCCUGUUUGAGUGUCAUUAUAUACUCAACUCGCUUGAUUCUGUAUGGAGUCGCUCGAGUUGGACUUGGAGGUACUGCUGGCCCUCGCGGGUCGGCUCCUCUCAAAUGCAUUAGCUGAGCUUUCAUUGGAUGUAAUGGUGUAAUAAUCAACUUCACCGAUGCAACCCGUGAUCGAGGCUUGCUUCCAAUCGUCGUCUUCGGACGACACCAUAAAAGGCAGUGAUGUCUUUUUGACUCUUUUGACCUCAAAUCAGGUAGGAUUACCCGCUGA
rnacentral:misc_RNA from 1 species